CGCUGGCGGCGUGCCUAACACAUGCAAGUCAACUUGAAGGAAGGAGCAAUCUGACCUGACGGUGGCGCAAGGGUGCGUAACGCGUAAGUAACUUGCCCAAGGUAAGGAAUAACGUCGAGAAAUCGGCGCUAAUACCUCAUAAUGCAGCGGAUCCGCAUGGAUAUGUUGUUAAAGGUUUACCGCCUUGGGAUAGGCUUGCGUCUGAUUAGCUAGUUGGUGUGGUAAUGGCACACCAAGGCUACGAUCAGUAACUGGUCUGAGAGGAUGAUCAGUCACACUGGAACUGAGACACGGUCCAGACUCCUACGGGAGGCAGCAGUGAGGAAUAUUGGGCAAUGCACGAAAGUGUGACCCAGCAACGCCGCGUGGAGGAUGAAGGUAUUCUAUAUCGUAAACUCCUGUGAGAGCAGACGAAAGACAGAUUAUUAAUUUGGAUGACUGUAUGCUCAGAGGAAGCCCCGGCUAACUACGUG
rnacentral:rRNA from 1 species